CAAACCUGUACGCUUUCCUUUCAUUCGUGGCACACAACAGGAGGUUUAGUGUUCUCCUUUUGUUUGUGUAGGCGCCCCAUAAACCUAAUGCCUGUUUCUCACUUAUGGGCUCUCUUCCAAAACCUGGUGCGCUGCCCACAUACUCCUGAUCCUGCUAAAGUUUGUGUGUAUGAUGCUGCAGUCUUGUCUCUGUAGAGCAAAGAGCAGCAUGAACAUUGUUGAACAGUGUUUCACUGAAGAACAUCAAGAAGCUGUUUGGACUCUCAUUCUGACGGCACCCAUUCACUGCAGAGCAUCCAUUCUGGGCAAGUGAUGCAAUGCUACAUUUCUCCAAAUCUGAUGAAGAAACAAAUUCAUCUACAUCUUAGAUGGCCUGAGUACACUUUCAGCCAUUUCUAGUUUUUUGGUGAACUAUCCCUUUAACUUUUAAGUAAUACAAUUACUUUUACAAAAGACACAGCCUUGUAUAUAACUGGCUAAAACUUAGAUGUCUGUCUUCCAUUUACAUCCACAACAUAUACAUGUAUAUUUAAACAAGUUCACACGUGGUCUGUUGAAGUGAGUAC
ensembl:lncRNA